ensembl:miRNA MIR31 microRNA 31
UCAGAGCUGGAGAGGAGGCAAGAUGUUGGCAUAGCUGUUGAACUAAGAACCUGCUAUGCCAACAUAUUGCCAUCUUUCUUGUCUAUCAGCAACCAUGGUAUCCUUUGUAUUUGUUCUUACCAUUACUGU